GACGAACGCUGGCGGCGUGCCUAACACAUGCAAGUCGAACGGAGAUACGAUUUCGGUUGUAUCUUAGUGGCGAACGGGUGAGUAACGCGUGAGCAACCUGACCUUCAGAGGGGGAUAACAUUUGGAAACAGAUGCUAAUACCGCAUAAGACCACGACCCGACAUCGGGAUGAGGUCAAAGGAGCAAUCCGCUGGAGGAGGGGCUCGCGUCCCAUUAGAUAGAUGGCGGGGUAACGGCCCACCAUGUCGACGAUGGGUAGCCGAGCUGAGAGGCUGAUCGGCCACACUGGAACUGAGACACGGUCCAGACUCCUACGGGAGGCAGCAGUGGGGAAUAUUGGGCAAUGGGCGCAAGCCUGACCCAGCAACGCCGCGUGAGGGAAGAAGGCUUUCGGGUUGUAAACCUCUGUCCUUGGUGACGAAACAAAUGACGGUAGCCAAGGAGGAAGCCCCGGCUAACUACGUGCCAGCAGCCGCGGUAA
rnacentral:rRNA from 1 species